CCUACGGGGGGCUGCAGUGAGGAAUAUUGGUCAAUGGGCUAAGGCCUGAACCAGACAAGUCGCGUGAGGGAAGACGGUCCUAUGGAUUGUAAACCUCUUUUGUCGGGGAGCAACGAGGCCACGUGUGGCCGAAGUGAGAGUACCCGAAGAAAAAGCAUCGGCUAACUCCGUGCCAGCAGCCGCGGUAAUACGGAGGAUGCGAGCGUUAUCCGGAUUUAUUGGGUUUAAAGGGUGCGCAGGCGGUCUGUUAAGUCAGCGGUCAAAGCCCGGGGCUCAACCCCGGCCCGCCGUUGAAACUGGCAGUCUCGAGUUGGAGAGAAGUAUGCGGAAUGCGCGGUGUAGCGGUGAAAUGCAUAGAUAUCGCGCAGAACUCCGAUUGCGAAGGCAGCAUGCCGGCUCCACACUGACGCUGAGGCACGAAAGCGUGGGUAUCGAACAGGAUUAGAUACCCUGGUAGUC
rnacentral:rRNA from 1 species